rnacentral:lncRNA from 1 species
GCUGUAGAACCUGGCUGUGCAUCAAAGUAGUUUGACAACUUCCCCUCCUAAACUUCAAUCAUGGGAUUAAUAAUAUACCUGUUUAUUUAUGACCUAAUUGUGACUCUUAUUACUAAAAGCUAGUGGGAAAGGCCCAUCCAAGAAGCUGGUGACUAGACUCACGCUUAGCUUUCCCACAGCAUAGGAAGCAUCAGGCAGAGUAUUAAAGAAAUAUAAUAUUUUACUGAUAAACCUGUCCUUUAAAAGGAACGUGUUUUGGGUGUCAUCAUUUUGGUGUGAAUCAUGUAAGUGUUGGCUGUUUGCUGUGUAUUACACUUUAGUGUCAGGAGACGCACUCAGCGGGCUUCUGCCCACGCAUAUCGUGUAGUCUGCGGAUUUUUAAGCGACAUUAACAGAAUAGUUUGUGUAGAGAAACCUCAAGCUGUUGCCUCCCCACCUGCGUCAUGAGUGUAUGUGCAUCCGGGUAUCAUCAGAGGCAGUGUAUUUGUGAGCUGUCUGGAACUAAAAGUGAG